rnacentral:rRNA from 1 species
GUGGGGAAUAUUGGACAAUGGGCGAAAGCCUGAUCCAGCAAUGCCGCGUGAGUGAUGAAGGCCUUAGGGUUGUAAAGCUCUUUUACCAGGGAUGAUAAUGACAGUACCUGGAGAAUAAGCUCCGGCUAACUCCGUGCCAGCAGCCGCGGUAAUACGGAGGGAGCUAGCGUUGUUCGGAAUUACUGGGCGUAAAGCGCACGUAGGCGGUUACUCAAGUCAGAGGUGAAAGCCCGGGGCUCAACCCCGGAACUGCCUUUGAAACUAGGUAACUGGAAUCUUGGAGAGGUCAGUGGAAUUCCGAGUGUAGAGGUGAAAUUUGUAGAUAUUCGGAAGAACACCAGUGGCGAAGGCGACUGACUGGACAAGUAUUGACGCUGAGGUGCGAAAGCGUGGGGAGCAAACAGGAUUAGAAACCCGUGUAGUCC